CAAGGUGUUUUUAUUCCUAUUAAUUCAAAUGAUAUUUUCUUUUAUUUUAAUUAUAAGUAUGCAUAACUAAUUUUCUAUUGCUAGGGUGAGGCCAUAAGCCUUAGCAUGAAUAUGUAAUUUUAUUAAUUUGCUUAUGAAUAGAUGCAUGUUUGCUUUGAAUUAUUAAUCAUUGCGUUUAAAACUAUCUAUUUAUUUUAAUGAUUGAUCACCAUUAGGAUAUGUAGACAAGUAAUUUGAUGCAAUUUAU
rnacentral:lncRNA from 1 species